CUGCUGCCUUCCGUAGGAGUCUGGGCCGUGUCUCAGUCCCAAUGUGGCCGUUCACCCUCUCAGGCCGGCUACUGAUCGUUGCCUUGGUGGGCUUUUACCUCACCAACUAGCUAAUCAGACGCGGAACCAUCGUAUACCACCGGAGUUUUUCACACUGCUUCAUGCGAAGCUGUGCGCUUAUGCGGUAUUAGCACCUAUUUCUAAGUGUUAUCCCCCAGUAUACGGCAGGUUUUCCACGCGUUACUCACCCGUCCCG
rnacentral:rRNA from 1 species